UGGGGGAUAUUAGGCAAUGGGGGAAACCCUGACCUAGCGACGCCGCGUGAGGGAAGAAGGUUUUCGGAUUGUAAACCUCUGUCUUCGGGGAAGAAUAAAUGACGGUACCCGAGGAGGAAGCCACGGCUAACUACGUGCCAGCAGCCGCGGUAAUACGUAGGUGGCAAGCGUUGUCCGGAAUUACUGGGUGUAAAGGGAGCGUAGGCGGGAAAAUAGGUCGCAUGUGAAAGGGCACGGCUCAACUGUGUCAUGCGUGCGAAACCGUUUUUCUUGAGUGGAGUAGAGGCAAGCGGAAUUCCUAGUGUAGCGGUGAAAUGCGUAGAUAUUAGGAGGAACACCAGUGGCGAAGGCGGCUUGCUGGGCUUUUACUGACGCUGAGGCUCGAAAGCAUGGGUAGCAAACA
rnacentral:rRNA from 1 species